UAGUAAUUUUAUGCCAUUCGUGACGUCUUGCCAGCGCUGGAACAUAGUACAGUUCCUGUAAAUUGACUUUCUGUCCUUGCGAAACAUUGCUGGUCUCACACUCGGAUGGUUUCUCCCUCUGCCCAGGGUCUUCAAAACCACCCCUCUCGAUAUGACUUCGCCUGGGACUCUCCUCUCCAGGGCCUCCCCGUCUGCCGAUAGAAAACGUAUCCAGACUUCACGCACUGAGGUUUUUGCUCUCCCCUUAGGCGAUCUGAAAAAUGGACCAGGAAUAAGCAGACAGGAAGAUAAUCAUUUAUAGGAACAUGGAUGCACCUCAAGCCGAUAAAGCUAAAUGGAACAAAUCAGAUGCAGACGGCUGACUGUAGCAUUGGUUUCUCUUCUUUGAAAAACCCAAAGGAUAAAGAGUUUAGAGAGCCAAGCUCUGAGUUCGAAUUCUGAUGCAGCACAAUGCCGUCCUCCUCCAUUAGGCUCAGAGAUCCGG